rnacentral:rRNA from 1 species
CCUACGGGAGGCAGCAGUGAGGAAUAUUGGUCAAUGGGCGCGAGCCUGAACCAGCCAAGUAGCGUGAAGGAUGACUGCCCUACGGGUUGUAAACUUCUUUUAUCAAGGAAUAAAGAGAGGCACGUGUGCUUUGUUGUAUGUACUUUAUGAAUAAGCAUCGGCUAACUCCGUGCCAGCAGCCGCGGUAAUACGGAGGAUCCGAGCGUUAUCCGGAUUUAUUGGGUUUAAAGGGAGCGUAGAUGGGUUGUGAAGUUAGUUGUGAAAGUUUGCGGCUCAACCGUAAAAGAGCAAUUGAUACUGGUAGCCUUGAGUGCAGUUGAGGUAGGCGGAAUUCGUGGUGUAGCGGUGAAAUGUUUAGAUAUCACGAAGAACUCCGAUUGCGAAGGCAGCUUAC